AACACAUGCAAGUCGAGCGAGAAUUCUUUAGUUGAUCUUUCGGGAGAUUCUAAAGAAGGACAGCGGCGGACGGGUGAGUAACGCGUAGGCAACCUGCCCCAUACAUUGGGAUAGCCCUGGGAAACUGGGUGUAAUACCGAAUAACACUUUGGAAUGGCAUCUUUUCAAAGUCAAAACUCCGGUGGUAUGGGAUGGGCCUGCGUCUGAUUAGCUAGUUGGUAAGGUAAUGGCUUACCAAGGCGACGAUCAGUAGCCGACCUGAGAGGGUGAUCGGCCACACUGGAACUGAGACACGGUCCAGACUCCUACGGGAGGCAGCAGUGGGGAAUAUUGCACAAUGGGCGAAAGCCUGAUGCAGCAACGCCGCGUGAGUGAUGAAGGCUUUCGGGUCGUAAAACUCUGUCCUAAAGGAAGAAUAAUGACGGUACUUUAGGAGGAAGCCCCGGCUAACUACGUGCCAGCAGCCGCGGUAAUACGUAGGGGGCAAGCGUUAUCCGGAUUUACUGGGCGUAAAGGGUGUGU
rnacentral:rRNA from 1 species